rnacentral:rRNA from 1 species
UAGGGAAUCUUCGGCAAUGGACGAAAGUCUGACCGAGCAACGCCGCGUGAGUGAAGAAGGUUUUCGGAUCGUAAAACUCUGUUGUUAGAGAAGAACAAGGACGUUAGUAACUGAACGUCCCCUGACGGUAUCUAACCAGAAAGCCACGGCUAACUACGUGCCAGCAGCCGCGGUAAUACGUAGGUGGCAAGCGUUGUCCGGAUUUAUUGGGCGUAAAGCGAGCGCAGGCGGUUUCUUAAGUCUGAUGUAAAAGCCCCCGGCUCAACCGGGGAGGGUCAUUGGAAACUGGGAGACUUGAGUGCGGAAGAGGAGAGUGGAAUUCCAUGGGUAGCGGUGAAAUGCGUAGAUAUAUGAAGGAACACCAGUGGCGAAGGCGGCUCUCUGGUCUGUAACUGACGCUGAGGCUCGAAAGCGUGGGGAGCAAACAGG